UACGUAUGGUGCAAGCGUUAUCCGGAUUUAUUGGGUUUAAAGGGUGCGUAGGCGGGCUUUUAAGUCAGCGGUAAAAAUUCGGGGCUCAACCCCGUCCGGCCGUUGAAACUGGGGGCCUUGAGUGGGCGAGAAGAAGGCGGAAUGCGUGGUGUAGCGGUGAAAUGCAUAGAUAUCACGCAGAACCCCGAUUGCGAAGGCAGCCUUCCGGCGCCCUACUGACGCUGAGGCACGAAAGUGCGGGGAUCGAACAGG
rnacentral:rRNA from 1 species